rnacentral:tRNA from 1 species
GGGGCUGGUUGCGAUGCUGGUGCACGCCGAGGUCUUCAAAACCUUCUGAGAGGCGCGUGCCGUCUCUGCUGGGUUCGAUUCCCAGACAGUCCCGCCA